rnacentral:misc_RNA from 1 species
UCACUAUAUCAAGCGUGGCUUGCUGUUGGGCCCUUUUGUCACCGGGUGACAGGUCCAAAAGACAAUGACCGGUGUCAUACAGACUCUAUAUGCAACGAGCUUUUAACAGCACGCAUCUGGCAGUUGUGUGGCCCGGUUCUGACCCCCUUUUAUUUUCUCAA